AUCUCUAGGGCCAUCUGCAGGACAUCUCUCCAGCUGAACCUGCAGGAUACAUUUUCUAAUUUUAUUUUCAUGGAUCUGACAUGCACGUAUGCAUACAGAAUACCUAGGAAUCUAGCUCCUGCAGCACAUUCCUGGGAGAUUGUGGAGUGCAAAUUUCUGAUCACCAGGUUUACAUGGAUCUCCUCGCCUAUGCUGUCAACGGCCCAACUUUUCCUCUCACUAAAUAAGUGAAUCAUAGAACUUAAAACACCCAGGCCUGAUGUAAGACAAAGUGACUUGGAGCAAAAACUGAAACAUUUACUGGGAUUUGCAGAGGCAAACAAGUAAAAAAAAAAAGUUUUUAACACGGUUUUUGGGUCUGGUUUCUUUUUCAUUA